CCUCGGUUCCCGUACGAUCAUCGAAGUUAAGCAACGUCGAGUCAGGUCAGUACGUAGAUGGGUGACCGCUUGGAAUACCAAGUGUUGUAA